UAGACGACAAGCGCAAGAACUGAACAAAAACCACUUAACUUUUCAUUAUUUGUUUUUAUUAUACAUUAUAAUGUUUAACUGUACGUUGUAAAUAUAAAUUAAAUAUGCCUAAGCAGUGUUAUUAAUUGGCAAAUCAUCUUGUCUAUUUCACAUUUUUACACUUUUAGGUUGCUCUCUUUUUGCUCACUACUGCAAUUUAUUUUGCCUUCUUUUUUACUUGCUACUAAAUGAAACUCUAUUUUUAUAUGAAAAAUAGAAGAAAUACUUCCACAUCGAGAAACCUAUCCCUAAAUAAGUAAAAUUAGAAAAUCAUUCCAAAAAAUAGGAAUUGCGACGAAAAUUGCAAGGCUAGUUCCCUCAACUUUGAUUCGUCUCCAAACUUUAAAUUGACUUUUAAGGCUGGUGACAUUGAAGAUUUAAUUCAAAUUUGAGGAUGAAUCAGCGUGAGAUAUCGAACAUUGAGGACUAUCCUGAUUCACAACAUCCUUAAUAUAUCUAGUUGUAACACCGGCGUAAAUCACUCAGGUAUAUAUAAUAUUUUAAGUGAGAAAUUCCUAAUUUAGCAAAACGACAACGGACAAGUUUGCUAUAAAUGAAUAACUCAAGGUUAUUUCUGUCAAUACCAAAAAACGCUGCAGAGUUAAAUAAAGCCACUGUCCACUCCUUUCACCAACCCAAAACCUCCACAAAACUCCAUAUAUAGCCAUUUUCUGUUCCUCUGUAUUCCAUCAUCUUCAUAUCUGUACAGAUAUAUACAUAGAGAGAUAGAGAGAAUAUUGAAGUACCGACGAACAGGUCACAUUUCUAAUGAAAUACACAAGACGAUUAUUUAUUGGUAUAGACUCGGCCACAUUAGAAUUAUGAACCUUUAAUACAUUCUUGUUCCCCCUUUUUUUCAAGAGAAUAGGAUUAUCCAUUACUCUUCUCGUUAUUUGAUAUUAAUUUGGAUUUCCAGUAAUUUCCUACAGUUUUUAGCAAUUUGAUAGUAGAUCGUUUAAUCUCUGAGUAACCCAAUUCAUUUUGAUUUCUAGUAAUUGUAGGCCUUUUAAAUUUCACAAUUUUCAGUAGUAUUUUGGACGAAAAUCGAUUGUAUCAAAUCUGACUCUGCUGAUUUAUGGAAAUCUUGAAGUGCGUUCUAUUGUUCUUCACAUACUUAAUUUGAAACCAUUGAGCCUUUAGAUUCGUGUUUUCGUAUAUAUUGGACUAUAUUUGGACAUAAUUUUUAGGAAAUUACAGUUCAAAAUCCCUUGCAGAGUGUUUGGGUAAUUGGGUUGGUGCAGAUGGGAAGAUCAUUACUUUAUGAGAUAUGGGAAAAACCAGCUACAAGUUGUAUAAUAGGACUAUGUAAUGCAAUAUGGUUCUAUAUACAGAAGAAGAACAUUGGGUAUUCACAUGUGGAUUUAAGUUAUGAUACUGCAGUGUAAGGUCACCACUGGAGGAUAAUAACAUCAGCUUAUCACAUAUUGGCGUUCUUCAUUAUUCAUUAGUAUUGAUUGUUUUGUCAGGAAUGCUAGUUCUGGGGACAUACUAUGUUUUGAUCCAAAAGUUCAAGAUAGACUAUUUUAGGAGUGAUUGCAGUCGGGUAUUCUUUUGGGUGGAUGACAAUUUUGUCGGUGAAAUGGACUUCAUCUAAGUUGAAUCUCGUUUGAUUUCUCUAUAAGUUUUGCUCCAUUUGAGUUUCUCAUCUUUACGUCUAUAAUUGUUCCCCAAGCGAGUUUCCGGUGACAGAUUCUUCCAUACCAUCUGUGUAUUUCUUAGCUUCAGGGAACGAUAAAACCUUGCAGAUGAGCACAUUGCCAUAUUUCAGUACUAUCUUAUCUUGCUUGUGGGAGAAAUAUUGUUCUACCAUGUGCAUUUGUACUUAAAUACUUCGGAUUUAUCGGGUCAUUUAACAAAUGUUGUGAUAAGGUGUCGCUUCUGGGAGGCUACUUUUACUGCUUUUUAGAUUAGCAUAAAUCUCAAACGUCUUAUGACACCGUAUGGAAGAGUCACCCCAGCUGCUGAAACGUUGUUUGUAUUAUAAACUAAGUCUCACUCCAUAUAAAUUUGGGAUCAACUACUUGUGUCGUUUUUGUCCUCUUCAUUCAUUCAUUCGAUAUGCAUAAACCUAGCAAUUGUUCUUCAGUCUUA
rnacentral:lncRNA from 1 species